rnacentral:rRNA from 1 species
AGGUUACUGCUAUCGGUGUUCGCCUAAGCCAUGCGAGUCAUAUGUUCUUCGUGAACAUGGCGUACUGCUCAGUAACACGUGGAUAACCUGCCCUUGGGUCCGGCAUAACCCCGGGAAACUGGGGAUAAUUCCGGAUAACGCACAUAUGCUGGAAUGCUUUAUGCGUCAAAUGGAUUCGUCCGCCCAAGGAUGGGUCUGCGGCCUAUCAGGUAGUAGUGGGUGUAAUGUACCUACUAGCCUACGACGGGUACGGGUUGUGAGAGCAAGAGCCCGGAGAUGGAUUCUGAGACAUGAAUCCAGGCCCUACGGGGCGCAGCAGGCGCGAAAACUUUACAAUGCGGGAAACCGUGAUAAGGGGACACCGAGUGCCAGCAUCAUAUGCUGGCUGUCCGGGUGUGUAAAAUACACCUGUUAGCAAGGGCCGGGCAAGACCGGUGCCAGCCGCCGCGGUAACACCGGCGGCCCGAGUGGUGAUCGUGAUUAUUGGGUCUAAAGGGUCCGUAGCCGGUUUGGUCAGUCCUCCGGGAAAUCUGACGGCUUAACCGUUAGGCUUUCGGGGGAUACUGCCAGACUUGGAACCGGGAGAGGUAAGAGGUACUACAGGGGUAGGAGUGAAAUCUUGUAAUCCCUGUGGGACCACCUGUGGCGAAGGCGUCUUACCAGAACGGGUUCGACGGUGAGGGACGAAAGCUGGGGGCACGAACCGGAUUAGAUACCCGGGUAGUCCCAGCCGUAAACGAUGCUCGCUAAGUGUCAGGCAUGGCGCGACCGUGUCUGGUGCCGCAGGGAAGCCGUGAAGCGAGCCACCUGGGAAGUACGGCCGCAAGGCUGAAACUUAA